AGAAUCACCCCAUAUUUGGAACUGUCAUUUAUGCAAAUGUUAUGAAAGUUGAGCUCUAGUAGGAAAUUUAAUUCAAAUAUCUGUAAAAGUAUUUACAUAGAAAAGACUAUUGUUUCCUACAUAUAGGAGCUUAUAACAGAACAUUUUUAAACUCAAAAGUGUCUCUCCAGGUAUUAAGCACAAUGCUAGGCACUAAGAAUUUAAAGAUGCAUAAGGCCCAACCUUCAUUUAAAGAACACUGCAGUUAAACAGACAAAUAAUUGGAUCACUUAAAAAUAAUAUACAGGUGCAGUACCAACAAUGUUUCCAAAGAGUACCAGGUAAGAGCAGCCAAUCACAGGAGUAUGGGGGUGGGGGGAUUGGGAAAAUAGGCCAAAGAAAGCUAACUGGGGUUGUUGAGUGUAAAUCAGGCCAUGAGGCAGGAAAGGGUAUUCCGGGCAGAGGGAGAGAAUCGUCAUUGUGAUCCAAAUAACAAAGUCAGUCAUAUUUUCAGCACUGCUGCAGCUCCUGAUGGGUCACUAGGUUUUGGGACUAGACUCAAGCUCUGAACUUUAAGAUACAAUUUUAUUAUUUCUCCCACAUGUGAGCUCAGUCUCAGUGAUGACCCAUAAUCACUAGAUUCAUAAGAAGCUGAUUUUCAGCCAUAUAUCACAUAUGACUAUACACAGAAUUUGAAAUCUUGCACAAUAGCCAACUGACCAUAUGUUCACAGAGCCAAUUUUUAGCCUGUUUGUUGAACUCAUUUAGGAAAUCAAAUUAGAGAUCAGAAUGUUGAUCACUCAGCAUCAAAAUGGAACAAAGGUCAUAGACAUUCUUGGGACACAUUUCCAACAACCCAGGGCCAGGCAAUGAAAGAACUGCUUAAAUACGCAUCUCUGGUAUGCAGAGAGUAUUAGAAUUAAAGCUGAGAAAUGAAAACCAAAACACUAUGAGAGAGAAAGUUAUUAUACUUCAUUUUCAAACUUCAGACAUAGAAGAGAAACCUCAAAUGUACUAUAUUUUCAUUUCUUGCAUCUUUCUUCUUUGCAUCUUGCACAAAUGGAUGCUCAAUGAAUUCUUGGUGAUUGAAUGUGGAAGAAUUGAGAGACCUGACUGCAUCAGUCCACUGGGAAGGCUGGUCAAUAUAGUAAAGCAGGAUCAACAAAAAUAUCUACAAUACUCGGUAUUUAUUGAAUGUACUUUUAUGCAAUUUAUGAUUGUAGCCACUUUAAACACGUUAUCUGACUUAACCUUUAUAACAACACUGUGAAUUAGAUAUUAUUAUAGAUAAUGCAGUUGAGGCUCAGAGAGGUUAAGAAAUUUGUCUGAAAUAUAACUUGUAAGUAGAAGAGAAGGGAUUGAAACGUAAGUCUGACUUUAACAUUUGUACUCCUGAUCGCUCUUGCAUCCAAGUUUCCACAGAGCAACUGGUGGGAGAGAUUUGAGGAAUCCAUCAGUUAUGUGAUGACCAUUCUGUUGGAAUUCCUGCCAUCCAGGUUCCUCCUGGAGGUACUCUAUUUGUA
rnacentral:lncRNA from 1 species